rnacentral:rRNA from 1 species
UCGUACCCCAAACCGACACAGGUGGUCAGGUAGAGAAUACCAAGGCGCUUGAGAGAACUCGGGUGAAGGAACUAGGCAAAAUGGUGCCGUAACUUCGGGAGAAGGCACGCUGAUAUGUAGGUGAAGUCCCUCGCGGAUGGAGCUGAAAUCAGUCGAAGAUACCAGCUGGCUGCAACUGUUUAUUAAAAACACAGCACUGUGCAAACACGAAAGUGGACGUAUACGGUGUGACGCCUGCCCGGUGCCGGAAGGUUAAUUGAUGGGGUCAGCGCAAGCGAAGCUCUUGAUCGAAGCCCCGGUAAACGGCGGCCGUAACUAUAACGGUCCUAAGGUAGCGAAAUUCCUUGUCGGGUAAGUUCCGACCUGCACGAAUGGCGUAAUGAUGGCCAGGCUGUCUCCACCCGAGACUCAGUGAAAUUGAACUCGCUGUGAAGAUGCAGUGUACCCGCGGCAAGACGGAAAGACCCCGUGAACCUUUACUAUAGCUUGACACUGAACAUUGAGCCUUGAUGUGUAGGAUAGGUGGGAGGCUUUGAAGUGUGGACGCCAGUCUGCAUGGAGCCGACCUUGAAAUACCACCCUUUAAUGUUUGAUGUUCUAACGUGGACCCGUGAUCCGGGUUGCGGACAGUGUCUGGUGGGUAGUUUGACUGGGGCGGUCUCCUCCUAAAGAGUAACGGAGGAGCACGAAGGUUGGCUAAUCCUGGUCGGACAUCAGGAGGUUAGUGCAAUGGCAUAAGCCAGCUUGACUGCGAGCGUGACGGCGCGAGCAGGUGCGAAAGCAGGUCAUAGUGAUCCGGUGGUUCUGAAUGGAAGGGCCAUCGCUCAACGGAUAAAAGGUACUCCGGGGAUAACAGGCUGAUACCGCCCAAGAGUUCAUAUCGACGGCGGUGUUUGGCACCUCGAUGUCGGCUCAUCACAUCCUGGGGCUGAAGUAGGUCCCAAGGGUAUGGCUGUUCGCCAUUUAAAGUGGUACGCGAGCUGGGUUUAGAACGUCGUGAGACAGUUCGGUCCCUAUCUGCCGUGGGCGCUGGAGAACUGAGGGGGGCUGCUCCUAGUACGAGAGGACCGGAGUGGACGCAUCACUGGUGUUCGGGUUGUCAUGCCAAUGGCACUGCCCGGUAGCUAAAUGCGGAAGAGAUAAGUGCUGAAAGCAUCUAAGCACGAAACUUGCCCCGAGAUGAGUUCUCCCUGACCCUUUAAGGGUCCUGAAGGAACGUUGAAGACGACGACGUUGAUAGGCCGGGUGUGUAAGCGCAGCGAUGCGUUGAGCUAACCGGUACUAAUGAACCGUGAGGCUUAACCUU